rnacentral:rRNA from 1 species
UACGUAGGGUGCAAGCGUUAUCCGGAAUUAUUGGGCGUAAAGAGCUCGUAGGCGGUUUGUCGCGUCUGCUGUGAAAACUGGAGGCUCAACCUCCAGCCUGCAGUGGGUACGGGCAGACUAGAGUCCGGAAGAGGAGAGUGGAAUUCCUGGUGUAGCGGUGAAAUGCGCAGAUAUCAGGAAGAACACCCGUGGCUAAGGCGGCUCUCUAGUACGGUACUGACGCUGAGACGCGAAAGCGUGGGGAGCGAACAGG